CCAGACUCCUACGGGAGGCAGCAGUGGGGAAUAUUGGGCAAUGGGCGCAAGCCUGACCCAGCAACGCCGCGUGAAGGAAGAAGGCUUUCGGGUUGUAAACUUCUUUUAAGAGGGAAGAGCAGAAGACGGUACCUCUUGAAUAAGCCACGGCUAACUACGUGCCAGCAGCCGCGGUAAUACGUAGGUGGCAAGCGUUGUCCGGAUUUACUGGGUGUAAAGGGCGUGUAGCCGGGAAGGCAAGUCAGAUGUGAAAUCUGGAGGCUCAACCUCCAAAUUGCAUUUGAAACUGUUUUUCUUGAGUACUGGAGAGGCAGACGGAAUUCCUUGUGUAGCGGUGAAAUGCGUAGAUAUCAGGAGGAACACCGGUGGCGAAGGCGGCCUGCUGGACUGCAACUGACGUUGAGGCCCGAAAGCGUGGGGAGCAAACAGGAUUAGAUACCCGAGUA
rnacentral:rRNA from 1 species